UCUCUCUUUAUUUUCUUUGUAAAUAUAAAAGUAGCGGUCCAUAAUCAUUCUUUUUCUGGGAGGUGGGAAGGUCUACUUUAUUCCUGAACACAUUUUUUUUUCAACUAUACAUCACCAAACAUCUAUAACAGUAACCAUCGAUAAGAUCUAAUUGUAAGCAAUCUAAACUUCUUCACACAUACACGAGUCAGCUGGGCCAAUAUACUCUAACAUUGCGGGGCUUACACACCCACAUUUGAUAAGGCUUUCGUAGACGUUGUGGGUAUUUACAUGGGUAGUUUUAUGAGGCUAGUGAUAGUCUGACAAGGCUUCUGCACCAUGAAUGUGAAAAGCAGUCAUGAGAACCCGGCUAAUCUCCUUUGUGGCCUUUGAAAAUGUUUGUUCUGUGAGCCAUAUGCGUCUGAGAUUACGAACUCUGACCAUAAACUAAAAAUCUAAAUAGGUACCGUAUGUGCUCAAGGAAGAUAUAUAAACGACUUUGAUGCUGCAGGCCAAAAUCCACCUCAGUUUACCGUCCCUCCUUCAGGCAGAAAAAGACACCAGAUUACAGCCCAACGUGGGAACAUAUCACACAGGUAGGCCUCUCAAUAACACACCUGGACGCUACUGAUAAGAAUGAAUUAAUGAAGACCCUUACUGCCAGUGAUAACCAAGCCUGAUAUAAUGAAGACCGACCCUCAAUACAAACGAUAACGAAGAAGCGACGUGAAAAAACGGAGGAGUAUAAAAGAACAGAACAAAACAGAUAGCAGAGCAAGGUUACAGAAAACAAACAAGAUGAUAAAGUACAGUGAAGUGAGAUGAUAAAGGACAGUGAAGUGUUUUUUUUUGUGUUUCUUUUCCUUUUUUACUUUCUCGUGGCCUGCUUCAUAAGAGAUAAGUUAGUGAAGGAGAAGAAUUAAAUAGGGACCAAUAACCUUAUCUUCUCGCAUGUUUACGAUCACGGAAAGGAGGAGGAGGAAGAGGAGGAGGAGGAGGAGGAGGGGGAGGAGGAUGUUACUUACUUAAUAAUGAAGACGAAAAAUUAAAUAGGGUGUCACUGUGUACAUGACCUUAUCUUCCUCCAGUAUGUUUACGAUCACGAGGAGGAGGAGAAGGAAGAGGGGACGAAUGCUGAGUAAAGAAGUGAAUAAGCAGAAAAUUGAGGAAGAUAAGACUAAAACUUUAAUUACUAACGAUGGACCGGUUUUGGGGGAUCAGCUAAAGUGCCACACAAGAUAAGAAUACAAGACACAAAGACUGAAGUAAUGAGUCUUCUUCCACGCUACUGCUCCUCCUCCUCCUCCUCCUCCUCCUCCUGCUCUUUAUCACUUGCUCUCCGCCACUUACACGAGAUGACAAGGCCUCCGAUAAGCCUCCUGAUGCCCCAAGCACUCUGCCCAUCCCUUUGCGCCGCCUUGAACUGAGACGUCUUACGCGCGAGAAUUCAUUACACUUAGCAAAAUAUCCACGGCCUCACAUCAUCGUAAGAAAACACUAACUUCCCCAAAAGCGUCCUUCAAAACCUUCUCAACAAACUUUACCAUGACGCCUCAGGAAGAAACACUAAAAAACUGCACGGCCUCACUUUCCCGUCAUAAAGCAGUAACUCCUCCUCAUCACCCACAACACGCUCAGAAGCCACCGCCAGCUAACUCCACAUUAACGGACACGCAAUGAACCACAGACACAACGCGCUCUGAGUCACGUCGCUGUAACAAAUAAUGGCUCGUAUCAUGUCCAGGGCGUGGGAGGGCGGCAGACAAAGGAGUACACUGACCACUUCGUCUCGGCAACGGCGCCAUGGAAACACACGAACGUAGUCUUCAGAGGCCAUGGGAAGCUGCAGGUGAGAUCUAAUUUUGUUAUCGCACUCCUAUAACCAAGACUAAAUAAAACAAGAAUAAUAUGUAGAUGUCUGUAAGAGGUCAAAAGAAUGCCAAGGUCGAAUCCAAUCUUAUGCUGUCGAUGAAACUAAGAGUGAACUAAAGAGAUUAAAUCAAAACCUACUUUGACAAGAAAUCAAAAACAUAAGACGUCUGCAAGAGUGGAGUUCAAUCAUGUUAUCGAUAAAGCGAAACUAAAGCUGAGAUUGUGGAGGAUUAAAGAUAAAGUGACACAAAUACGAGAACAUAAGACGUCUGCAAGAGGCUAAGGGAAUGUUUUAGUGGAAUCCAAUGGUAAGUAAUCGAGACAAUAUAAGGCAGAGGCUAUUGAGGAUGGGAGCUGAAAAGUGACACGAGUACAAGAACAAAAGUAGUCUGCAAGAGGUCAAGGGAAUGUUUUAGUGGAAUCCAAUGGUAAGUUAUCGAUACAGUGAAACUAAGGUGAGAUUGUGAAGGAUAAGACCUACAGAUACACGAAUACAAGAACACAAGAAGUCUGCGAAAGGCCAAGGGAAUGUUUUAGUGGAAUCCAAUGGUAAGUUAUCGAUACAAUGAAACUAGGUGAGAUUGUGAAGGAUAAGACCUACAGAUACACGAAUACAAGAACACAAGAAGUCUGCGAAAGGCCAAGGGAAUGUUUUAGUGGAAUCCAAUGGUAAGUUAUCGAUACAAUGAAACUAAGGUGAGAUUGUGAAGGAUAAGACCUACAGAUACACGAAUACAAGAAGUCUGCGAAAGGCCAAGGGAAUGUUUUAGUGGAAUCAAAUGGCAAGUUAUCGAUACAGUGAAACCAAGGCGAGAUUGUGAAGGAUAGGACCUAAAGACACACGAAUACAAGAACAAAAGAAGUCUGGGAAAGGCCAAGGGAAUGUUUAAGUGGAUAACAAUCGCCUGAUCUCUGCACUUACAAAGCUCAGGAUAAUACAAUCUUCCCAUCUUCUGUGACGAGACGCAGAAUCUAAAAGACAGAGUCGAAAGGUUGGCCAUUAUCAAAACGAGAUGAAGCGCGAGGCGAACUGUCCACUGAUAAAGAAUGAGAGAGAGAGAGAGAGAGAGAGAGAGAGAGAGAGAGAGAGAGAAACACGUGUCGCCUUACAAAACAAACAAAAGUUAAACUAGAGCGCUUCAAGCAUAACUAUCCACUGAUAAAGAACGAGAGAGAGAGAGAGAGAGAGAGAGAGAGAGAGAGAGAGAGAGAGAGAGAGAGAGAGAAACACGUGUCGCCUUACAAAACAAACAAAAGCUAAUCUAAAGCGCUUCAAGCAUUACUACAAACACACUAAACCGACUCACGAACACACUUAGGUCGGUGAUAGACAGACAAAGAAAGAUAGACAAGUAGAUCAAGGUGAUGACCCAAAAUAUACGAGAAUCCACUGUAAAUCAUUAAAAAGAAAACAUGUAAAUAUUGUAAAGAUCCAACAAAUUUAAACCAGAACACACACACACACACACACACACACACACACACACACACACACACAUACACGUUCUCGAUAACACAAGAACACUUUUUAUCACACAAGUCUUGCUACAGUUGCUUCAGUCUUCUUUGCGGUUAUUUUUAGCAACACUUCAGCGUCUCAAAUUACUUCUAACGACUUAAUCACGAGUUUUCUCUUGCAUUAUGCUUGAUAGAGAAAAGUGAGUGUGCUUCCUUUCACUUUUCAACGGUGCUCGACAAAGGACGGCUUGAUGGGUGUAGGAAUAAGGAAAACAGUGAGGCUUUGUGAGAAGGUGGAAACUUCGCGGUACAGGAACACCCGGUCAGUUCGUGGAAAAAAAAUUGGGAAAGUGGUAAUUCUCUGGACUUCCCUCUUCUUUUUAUUUUUUUCCCAUUACCACUAACAACUUACUGCACCAAAAUAAGUAAAUAAAAGUGGUAGAGCGGACUUUUUUCUCUUUCUCUCUCUCAUAAAUCACGAACAAUCUAUUACACACACAAAAAAAAAAUGUUCCGCCAGCUCUGGACUUCCCUCAUCUUUUUCUUUCUUUUUUCCCAUUACCACUAACAACUUACUGCAUCAAAAUAAGUAAUAAAAGCACUAUAGCGGACUCCCCCUUUCUCUCUCUCUCUCUCUC